UACGAAAGGUCCAAGCGUUACUCGGAGUUACUGGGCGUAAAGCGCGCGUAGGCGGCUUUGUAAGUCAGGUGUGAAAGCCCCGGGCUCAACCUGGGAAUUGCAUUUGAGACUGAAUAGCUAGGGUGCGGAAGAGGGAAGCGGAAUUUCCGGUGUAGCGGUGAAAUGCGUAGAUAUCGGAAGGAACACCAGUGGCGAAAGCGGCUUCCUGGUCCAGCACCGACGUUCAGGCACGAAAGCGUGGGGAGCAAACAGG
rnacentral:rRNA from 1 species